AUUGAACGCUGGCGGCAGGCCUAACACAUGCAAGUCGAGCGGAUGAGUGGAGCUUGCUCCAUGAUUCAGCGGCGGACGGGUGAGUAAUGCCUAGGAAUCUGCCUGGUAGUGGGGGACAACGUUUCGAAAGGAACGCUAAUACCGCAUACGUCCUACGGGAGAAAGCAGGGGACCUUCGGGCCUUGCGCUAUCAGAUGAGCCUAGGUCGGAUUAGCUAGUAGGUGAGGUAAUGGCUCACCUAGGCGACGAUCCGUAACUGGUCUGAGAGGAUGAUCAGUCACACUGGAACUGAGACACGGUCCAGACUCCUACGGGAGGCAGCAGUGGGGAAUAUUGGACAAUGGGCGGAAAGCCUGAUCCAGCCAUGCCGCGUGUGUGAAGAAGGUCUUCGGAUUGUAAAGCACUUUAAGUUGGGAGGAAGGGUAGUAACCUAAUACGUUGCUACUUUGACGUUACCGACAGAAUAAGCA
rnacentral:rRNA from 1 species